UAAGUGGUGAUAGGUUAACGGGUGUACCAGCUAACUAGGCCAUAGGCUAUCGAUAGUCAGUGAUAGGAGAAAUGCCAUAGGAGGCGCGCUCUUCGCCGAUCUUCGUCUCCCGUAAGGGAAGCAGAUUAUUAUUAUCGCACCACGACGCGGAUGUGAGUGUGGUACCCAAGCAAACCGGGGACGUCGGCAGGAGUCGCGCGAAGAGUUCUCUAUUCUUCUUUUCAGCGCAGCUAGACACUGGAAUCGGAUUGCUUGCUGAUAUGGUGUAGUAGCAGGGGGAGGGGGUGUACUCUUUCCCCCGUCCGGUGCGGUCCUGCCGGGCCUUGAAAAAAAAAAUGGGGGGUAAUCGCUCCCCUGGUCGUACUCAUAUCCGCAUAAGGUCUCCAAGGCGUGCAGCCUAUGUUCGUUAGAAGAAUGUAGAUAAGUGAAGUCGGCAAAAUGGAUCCGUAUCCUAGGGAAAAGGAGAGGCUCUGUGGGUUGGGCGUAUGAGCUCCAGGGGCAAAGGACCGUUUAGUUACACCCGCCUGCUGGUUUGGCAACGGACCGGCGGGCAGGUGGUUGGCGGAGCACCCGGCGCGUCUGGGGAGGCUUCGGCCGCCCGGCGAGCCGUUAACCACCAGCUUCAAACUGGUACGGGCCAGGGGAAUUUGGCUGGUUAAAUAAAACAUAACCAUGCGAAGGCCCGAAAGUGAUGUUGACGCAAUGUGAUUUCUGCCCAGUGCUCUGAAUGUCACAAGUGAAGGAAUUCAACCAAGCGACGGCUACAGAUUGAGUC
rnacentral:rRNA from 1 species